GUCAGGACACAGCAUGGACAUGUGGACCCCCGCUCAACUCCUGGGGCUCCUGUUACUCUGGCUCCCAGGUGCCAGAUGUGACAUCCAGGUGACCCAGUCUCCAACCUCACUGUUGGCAGCUGUAGGAGACACAGUCACUAUCACUUGCAGGGCCAGUGAGGACAUCGGCUAUGGCAUACAUUGGUACCAAAAGAAAUCAGGAAAAGCCCCUAAACUGCUGGUCUAUGUUGCAGAUGAAUUAGCAUCUGGGGUCCCAAAAAGGUUCAGUGGAAGUGGAUCUGGGACAGAUUUCACUCUCACCAUCAGCAGCCUGGAGCCUGAAGAUGUUGCCACUUACUACUGUCUACAGGGUUAUGAUACCCCUCCCACAGUGAUACAAGCCAUGACAUAA